CUGACUGGUUUGGAGAGCUCUGGUACCUAGUCUGUGUAUUUCAGACUACAGGCCAGCACAAGUUAGCACAAAACAGACUGAAAUGAUGUAGGUGGGUCAGCUUCUUUUUGCCAAAGUGUAAGUCAACUCAAUUUGGAGACUGUAUAAGUUGAGGACUGAUUUUGGCUGCAUGUGACAGAAAAAUGAAAUAGCAGUGGAUUAAAGAUGACGACACCUCUCCAUCUACUCAACCCAAAAUACAUCGCAGACUUGCAUUAAACUUACUACAUCAGAUUCAAACUCCAGGGUCUCCAAAUGUCAUGGGAACUUCUCCAUCCAGUUUGCAGCUGACUCUUUGCCAGCUAAUGACUUUGCAGAGAAGAAUCAUUUUAGUAUAGAUAGGCUUCUGCUUUAUAGACUUGAGUUUGCCAUUUAUUAGGAAAUGCCUAUUCCUUAAAAACUUCGUGGACAGCCAGCAUGUUUUUCUACACUUAUUUUUUGUGCAAAUAACCUCAGUCAAAGAUGUUAUCACAACAGUGAUUUCAAAUAUGAUAAUUUUUGCCUCUUAGCCUUGAACCUCUCUGGUCCAUUCCUCCUUUUCUCCUUUUAGUAGCUUACGGCCAUUUGAUACUUUUGGUUCAAAUGAGAAAUCCACUGACUCAGUGCUGCUUUUCCCAAAGUCUAGGGGGAAUGCUUGAAGAGUUGGUGGGGCCUUUGAAAAAGAUUUUGUGCCACGUUCUUUUUUUUUUUUUCUUUCUUCGUUUUAGAGCCACACCUGUGGCAUAUGGAAAUUCCUAGGCUAGGGGUCAGAUUAGAGCUGCAGCUGCCAGCCAACAGGUGCUCUGGUGGCGGUUCUCCAGUGAUCCCUUAUGACUGUUUAAAGUUUCUAUACAAAAACAUUUUUUUCCGACUUUAUAGUGCUACAAAUAACAUUACUCUCAAUGAGCUUAGAAUACAAGCCACACACACAUAGCAUAUCCCUGAACACGGCGAGCUUUCCUCCUUGUCACGCUGCAGAGUGGCGUAUAUGAUAUGAUACGAGUUGAUCUCCAUCUUGCACAAGUUGAACAUAUAUUCCAUUUCACUUGGUCCUGACUUAUACUUCUUGUCCAGACUUAUUUAUGAAUAGUUCUCCCUGUUACUGUGAAAGAGUCAGAGUUUGGAAGAUAAAUUAUGUUUACUUUCCUCUUGUCUGACUUUGCUGAAUGGAUCCAGAAGAAGCUAUAUACAGAUCACCAUUCUAAAUGUUUUCUGUAAUGUUGCCCAAGACUCAUCCUUGGCCUUCGCAUGGCCUGAGUCUAGAGAUAAAGCAGACAGUAAUUAGGCAAACAGUCUGAACCUGCUUGACAGGUCACAGGCUCUGCAGACUGCAAUGGCUAGACCCUUCUGCCUGCUGAUAAACCCUUUCCACUGCGUUAAUACCACAUUUUCGAUUCUCAUAGCAAUAGCAUGCUCUGUUUUACACCAGAUUCUCUAUUAGCUAGUGAUUAACUUUGUGUUUAAAAAAUACCUAAAGGAGAGUGACUUACACAAAAAUGUUCACUUAUUUCAGCACAAGGAGAUUGAGUGGUGUUAUCUUUCCAUGCUAGGCUAGUGGUUUUCAAAGUGCACCCGUGGACCCAAAGAUCCCCACGACCCUUCCAGUGGGGUGAUGAGCCUGCACUAUUUCUAUAACAGUACCAGGAGACUGCGUGCCUGCGUUCCUUUCGUGAGUGCGGGCAUUAAUGAUACAAAAGAAGUGGCUGAAGUUGUUGGCAUCUUGGUACUAAUCAAGGCGGUGGAAGUACCUCUGCUAGUAAACAUACGUCUUUUUAUUGCCUGAUGCUUAAACAUGUAAGAAAAAAAGUCUAUUUUGCUUUAAAAUUCCCUUGAUAAAGCAACAAAAGUCUUAGUUUUAUCAAAUUAUGAGACUUGCAUACUUAGAAUAUUCUAUGUGGCAAAACCAAAAGUACAUGGAAGGCAUUUCUGAUGCAUUCCUUAGUGGUUGCCUCAAAAAAAUGUUGUGUGUUUGAAUCUUAAGCUGAACUAUAUGCCUUUCUCUGGAACACUAUUUUUACCUGAAAAAAUAACUUGGAGACAGACUAUUUGUUUUUAGACUUAGGUGUGUGGCAGAUUUUACCUCAGGAACAAACUAAGUGAAUGUGUCUCUUAGAAGAAGUAGACAAUUGAUACUGUAUCACCAGUGAUAAUAUUUGAGUUCAUGAAUGAAAAUAGAAUUUUGGAAGAAUUGUUUCUCCUACUAUGAGGUUGAUUGUUUCUAAAUAGACUUUUCUUAUGGAAAUAUUGGGAAUAUUAACAAAUUUGUUUUUAUGUUUUAUAAUUAAAUAUGUCAACAGUAGGAAGAUCUGUAUACAGUGAACUAAUAUUUUUAAAUGACUAGUGCAUGUUGCAAAAUCAUGGAUGAGUAAAAGACCUACUCAAAAUGCAAGAUAGACUAAUGGAUGUUUAUGUAACAGAAUACAAAGUUUUUGAUAUAGAUGUUAGAUUCCACAUUGCAAUUCAUUUUUAAGAAACUUAACACUAAUCAAGUUUGGUUUAGGAUCAGCAAAAACAUCCAUAAUUAUCUAAAAUGGUUAUUAAAGUCUAACUGCUUUUCUGUCUGAAGCCAGAUAUUCUUUAUUAUAUUUAAAAAGUAAAAUAAAAGAAAAGCUUACAACAAGUUGAAUGCAGCAGCUGACAUGCGAAUCAAGCUGUCUGUUAUUAAGCCAGCUAUUACAAUUUUCUUUCAAAAAUCUAAAGCUAAUGCCACUGUUCUCCCAAAUAGUUUAAUUUUGAAAAAUAUAAACAUGUAAAGCACAUUUUGAAAAUAUAAACACAUAAAAACAUGCUAUUCAUGUUAACUUGUGAUUAAUAAAGCUAUUUUAAAUUAAUAAAUAAUCAAUAAGUAAAAUAAUGAGUAUAUAAAUAAUAAGUUGGUUUUAUUAAAACUAAUAAAUACAAAUUUAAUUAUUGCUUAAUUUAGAAUUUCUAAUAUGCUGAUUAUCAAUAGAUAUAACCUGUAUAAGCAUACACUAUUUGAAAAUUCAGUAGAGGAAUCUUGAGGCCAAAAUAUUUGAGGGAUUCUGUUUUAUAAGGCAAAGAAUUACAAACUGGAAAAUACGACCCUACCUUUUUUUAUGAACACAUAAGUAACUGCAGAUUGUUAAAACCAAGAAGGUUAAAACAGAAGAGAAUAUUUUGAUGUCUACUGCUACCUUUUUAAAAGACUGAGAACCAGAAAUUUUUUUAAGUUUUCCCCAAAGUAAAAAUGUUAAGAGAUUCAGGCAAGGGUCAUUAGAAUGGCCCAUUUUCUCAGAAAUGUAUUCUUUUCAGUUAGAGAAAGUAAUAAUUAUGGCAAAAUUCUAUAUCUUACAUGGUAAUAAAAUGGUUAGAGUAACUUGACAAAAAAUUAAUUUGGGUGUCAAAAGAGCUUUUUAAAAGAAUAUAUCUUUUUUUGGAGGGUGAAGGAGAAAAAGAGAGUUUUAUUGCUUUGCCAACAGCAGGCUAAUGCGUUAAAUACUGUGUUCUCCCACUGGGGGAGAUUAGGAGGCGGUGGUAUAGUUUGGGGAGUAGAAAAUAGUACUGCAGAUAAGGAUCAGGGUAGAGGCAAAAUUGUGAUGUUUCUCAAAGCUGGAGUUUGGUGGCUCCAGGACUGGUUCUGGUGGGCCUCCUCCUUCCGGGAGUGAAGACUGCUUCAUCAAAUAGUGCUUCCAUUUGUUGGGGGUUUUAGUUCUGCAGAAAGGCUCAGAGUUAUUGUUAUGUACAUUCCUUGAGGAGGAAUCAUGACCCUGCCCCAAGGCUGCACUAUUGUCUCGUGACUGCUCCUCCCUGGUCUCUGGAUCCUAUAUUUUGACUAAAUAAUCUUAGUUGUAAGAGUCCAGAAUGAUCAAAAUAUGACUUGGAAGUAAAUAAAACGGAAGCACCUACGAAUUAUAAAUGCAGGUAUGUUUAUCAUAAUAUCAUUUAUAAUAAUAAUAUACUAGAAACAAUGUAUAUACCUGUGAGUAGUAACAAUGGGAUGAACUGUAGCUGGAAAAAGCAGCUUAAUGAAGUGAAUGUGGAUACAGAAUGACUUACUGUUGGGUGUGGUCAUAGAGAGGACAAGACUGCAGAUUGACUCAGGAGCUGGACUGGAGCAAUGGGGCUCCGCAGCCCUUCCCUGUUCUUGGAAUGUGUGCACUCCUCCGUUUUUUUUGUCAACAGCAGGAGCUGUUCCAAGAAUGCAGCUGUGAGAGGCACGUCUGGUGGAGACCCUCUGGAUGGUGUACGUCACUGAACCCCACUGAGACGUCUCUAUAAACUUUUCAAAUUCUAGAGGAUGGGUGGAAAGAUCUACGUAACUGGUGACAGGCAUGCUGUAAAAAUCCGCUGCUUGUUCAACCUGCUGCGUACCAGCCUGCAGUGACCAGUUUCUUUCCUCAGGCUCCCCUUGUCUUCUUUGCCAACAGUGACAUUAGACAGAAAUGAAGACACAGCUAGAACAGUACUGAGGUAUGUGUAGUUUUAAAUACGUCUCUGAGGAAACAAACAAACAAAAGAAGCAUAAAAUAAAUUACACAUUAAAUUCAAGGUGUUGGAAAAGAGUCACCUAGCCAAACCCAAAGGAAAAGAGACAGGUACUAUAAAGACAGGGGCAUGAAGUAUAAAGUAGAAAAUAUAGCAACCAAAACAAUAGCACAUACUUAUACAUUAAGAAGUCAUACUUUACAAGUAAAUUAGAUAAAUUUUUGGUCUGGAAUAUUCAUUGAGAAAAAGAGAUACAUCUGAGACUAAAAAUUAAUAUUAUGGACCACUAUAUACUAAUAAAUUCUAAAACUAAAGGAAAUAUGUAACUUUAUAGAUAUUAUAUGUCAAAUUUGAUAGAAAACAAAUAGAACAUUCAUAAGCUAAUAUGUAUUAAAUAAAUUAAAUUAAUGGUCAAAAACCUUUCCUUCUGCAAACUCCAAAUAAUAGUAUCAAUAAAUGUUCACACUAUGCCAUACUUGUCUGUAAGAGUUAAAUUGUUAAUAAAAUAGAAGGAAGAAACCUAAGCAUAUGAGUUAAUGAAAUUAUUAUUUGAUUAAAAACCAAAUGAGGAAGAUGCAUAAAAUAAAAAUUAAGUUCAUAUAUUAAUAUACAAUCAGAAAUUGUAAGUAAAUAUUAGCUACACAAGUUAUAUAUUGUAUUACUGCUCUCAGGAAACAGAAUUAAAUUAGAAAUUGAUAACAGAAAGAUAAC
rnacentral:lncRNA from 1 species